AUUCUUUAGGACUGCUCUCAAAUAAUUGAAAUGUUACUAAACAAGGUUAUACUUAUCAAAUUAAAUAGCUCUGGUCUCCAGUAUAUUGGCGAAUUCGGUUCUUUGUACUUAAUUUAUUAGCAUGAUUUCUUUUUAAUAUGUUGUGUACAGACUUAAUUACUUCUCUGUCUACUUUUCUUACUCCAUGUAGGUUUCCCAGAGACUAUGGGUUGAGGAGGAAUUGGAAGUUUGUCGGCUUAGACCUGGUGUCAUUCCAUCAGUGUUAAACUUCCCGGCUCAUCUUGGAAGAGUACGUGCCAGAAAGACCACGACCAAGCAGCCUUGAGAUCUUAGACAGCGUCUCCCUGAGGUCCCUCUCUAUCUCCCCACACAUCCACCAACCACUGGAACACAUCUCCAAAGUUCUGCUGGGCCAGCUCAGCUUCCCCUCAGAAGAAGUGCUGCCACCUGCCAGAUGAAGGAGCCUUUUGAGAGGCAGCUGGCAUCGUGAUUGGACUGUACUUUGGUCUGUUCCAAUCCAGCUUCAGCUCCAGAGACGGCAGGCGGGACGAGUCAACGGAGGCUGGGUGGACGAAGGCAUGCAGCUGAGUACAAUCCAGAAAACAACAGAGGAGGAGUGCAGCGACCCAGAGCCAGAACAGAGUAUCAUGACCAAAGAACUACAGACUCUUCACAACCUGCUCAAACUCUUGGUACAGGACCUCACCACACGGGUCAAGAAGGUUUCCAUCUCAUUUCUACUCUGAAGCUCACCUUCUCCUGCUCAAACUACUGACAAAUGUUUCUGCUGCUCUAAAGUCUGGUCUCCAGAACUUCCUAAAAACUCUCAAAGUCUCUUCUGCUGCAGGUUGCUUUGUAGAACUGUUCCAGAAAACCUCACUAAACCACAUGGAGGGGCCUCAAGAUAGUCGUCCAAAUGAAACUGUACAAAAACCAAACUAGUACAACCCAAACGCUAAAGUCUCCUGCAGCCAACAGAGAACCUCUGAGAACAGAGAAUCAGGACAGGAACUCUUACCUUCUGGACAACCAACGUUGGUUCUCAAACAAGAAUACAGAAUGUGUCUGAUCAAAAACCUCUGAAGACUCACUACAGCCAAGAUAAAGACACAACUCAGCUGCAGCAAAUCCACUAAUCACUGCACACAUUAGCACCAUGUGCUAACUGUGGCUAAAGAACCACAUUUACCAAGACAACUAUCCAGUACAAAGCCCUAAAACACACCAAGAAACACAUUAAAGACGAUUUUACUGCUGGAAGCUGCAAGCCAACGCCUAAAGAACACGUAAAGAACGGAGCCAAACCCAUUUCAGUUGGUGAAGAGAAGCAGAGGAAAUGUUUGUCUGCAGCUAAAUAAAGCAGGAAGACACUGAGCUGCUCAGGUGUUCCUGAUAACACCAAGCAGCCACCUGGACAGCCAAUAGGAACACAGCUUACUGGAAGUCCAGAGGGCUGGCUUAGUGAAGGAAAUUUAAUUUAAAGUUGAAGCAGAAAGUUAAUAAAGAAAGUUGAAAACCACCUUCUGAUACCUGAAAUCUCUGAGUUUUCACACAAAGAACACCUGAACAUGUCAAACUGGUUCCAUAGUAGAACCAUCAUUGUAAAAACGUCAUAGUAUGGUGUGUUGCUCAAAAAACAUUAGGACCCGGCUGUCAGGGGACAAACAUGUAAGAAACAUGAGAACAGAGAGAACCCAACCAGUAGGUCACAGUUUAUCAUCCCCCAGUCAUCUCCUGAAGUCCAUAUGGUGAGAGACAUCAGUAUCUGGUUGUUCAUUUACCAGAGGAUGCUUAUAAUCAUGCUGAUGUGGUCUGUACUCUACAGUAUUUUAGUGACUCAAUAAAUGCCUAAGUUGUUUUUUUAAAAA